UACGGAGGGAGCUAGCGUUGUUCGGAAUUACUGGGCGUAAAGCGCACGUAGGCGGCUUUGUAAGUUAGAGGUGAAAGCCCGGGGCUCAACCCCGGAAUUGCCUUUAAGACUGCAUCGCUUGAAUCCAGGAGAGGUGAGUGGAAUUCCGAGUGUAGAGGUGAAAUUCGUAGAUAUUCGGAAGAACACCAGUGGCGAAGGCGGCUCACUGGACUGGUAUUGACGCUGAGGUGCGAAAGCGUGGGGAGCAAACAGGAUUAGAAACCCUUGAUAAGUUCC
rnacentral:rRNA from 1 species